GGCCGCCUGUCAUGCUAGGCCUUAGGUGUGAAGUGUGGUGGAUCUCGACAGAAAGGCACUUUUUUGGUAUCCACAAGCUCCCACUCGAUGCAGCAAUGAGCUUCUGUUAUAUUGGUCUGUAAAAACCACGUUUAUGGCGAGUUUUCAUUGCGUUUAAGCUUAGCUUUGCCAGAGCUCUCUCCAAGCACGUCUGGCCAGCUUGGCUGUCAGGCCCCGCCCCCCUAAAUCGGCACUUCUAGACACGGAGCAACCAACUUUUAGAAGUGUCAGGCAUAGGAAAUUUACAGAGGAAAAAAAGUAGUACCUACUUUGCCUCAGUAUUCAGUGAAAUUCCGUCAAGAG